GCACUCAGCCGGUAAGAGCAUGAGACUCUUAAUUUCAGAGUCGUGAGUUCGAGCCCCACGUUGGGCA